rnacentral:rRNA from 1 species
CAGGCCUAACACAUGCAAGUCGAACGGUAACAGGAAGCAGCUUGCUGCUUCGCUGACGAGUGGCGGACGGGUGAGUAAUGUCUGGGAAACUGCCUGAUGGAGGGGGAUAACUACUGGAAACGGUAGCUAAUACCGCAUAACGUCGCAAGACCAAAGAGGGGGACCUUCGGGCCUCUUGCCAUCAGAUGUGCCCAGAUGGGAUUAGCUAGUAGGUGGGGUAACGGCUCACCUAGGCGACGAUCCCUAGCUGGUCUGAGAGGAUGACCAGCCACACUGGAACUGAGACACGGUCCAGACUCCUACGGGAGGCAGCAGUGGGGAAUAUUGCACAAUGGGCGCAAGCCUGAUGCAGCCAUGCCGCGUGUAUGAAGAAGGCCUUCGGGUUGUAAAGUACUUUCAGCGGGGAGGAAGGGAGUGAGGUUAAUAACCUCAUUCAUUGACGUUACCCGCAGAAGAAGCACCGGCUAACUCCGUGCCAGCAGCCGCGGUAAU